rnacentral:rRNA from 1 species
ACGCACGCUGGCGGCGUGCUUAACCCCUGCCAGUCGAACGGAAAGGCCCUGCUUUUGUGGGGUGCUCGAGUGGCGAACGGGUGAGUAACACGUGAGUAACCUGCCCUUGACUUUGGGAUAACUUCAGGAAACUGGGGCUAAUACCGGAUAGGAGCUCCUGCUGCAUGGUGGGGGUUGGAAAGUUUCGGCGGUUGGGGAUGGACUCGCGGCUUAUCAGCUUGUUGGUGGGGUAGUGGCUUACCAAGGCUUUGACGGGUAGCCGGCCUGAGAGGGUGACCGGCCACAUUGGGACUGAGAUACGGCCCAGACUCCUACGGGAGGCAGCAGUGGGGAAUAUUGCACAAUGGGCGGAAGCCUGAUGCAGCAACGCCGCGUGCGGGAUGACGGCCUUCGGGCUGUAAACCGCUUUCGCCUGUGACGAAGCGUGAGUGACGGUAAUGGGUAAAGAAGCACCGGCUAACUACGUG